CCAAUAGCGUAUAUUAAAGUUGUUGCAGUUAAAAAGCUCGUAGUUGAAUUUCGGGAUUGACACAUCGGUCGUGCCUUAAGGGGUAUGAACUGGUGUAGUCAAUUUCUCACCUUCUGGAGAACCGCGAUGCCCUUAAUUGGGUGUCGCGGGGAACCAGGACCUUUACUUUGAAAAAAUUAGAGUGUUUAAAGCAGGCAUUUUGCUUGAAUACAUUAGCAUGGAAUAAUAAAAUAGGACGGCAUGAUUCUAUUUUGUUGGUUUCUAGGAUCACCGUAAUGAUUAAUAGGGAUAGUUGGGGGCAGUAGUAUUCAAUUGUCAGAGGUGAAAUUCUUGGAUUUAUUGAAGACUAACUACUGCGAAAGCAUUUGCCAAGGAUGUUUUCAUUAAUCAAGAACGAAAGUUAGGGGAUCGAAGACGAUCAGAUACCGUCGUAGUCUUAACCAUAAACUAUGCCGACUAGGAAUCAGACGAUGUUAAUUUUUUAAUGACUCGUUUGGCACCUUACGGGAAACCAAAGUGUUUGGGUC
rnacentral:rRNA from 1 species